ACUGUCGCGGUUAGUGCAACGCUAUUACAGCUCGGGGUGCCGGAUUUUGGAGUUCAAUCCCAAUGUCCUCUCUAAGGAAUUUGUACGUCUUCCUCGUGGAAUGUGUGGGUUUUCUUCAGGUCCUCUGGUGUCCUUCCACAGUCCAAAGACAUCGCAUACAACGAUAUAUUUGGAAUUUUUCUGGGAAGAUAUGAAGGCACCGUUGUCCCAGAAAUGCUACCUGGUCUGCUGAGUUCCUCCAGCAUUUUGAGUGUGUUACCGUGAACAGUUUACAGUUACUGUGGGUACCCAUCUGUUGUGUUGCCAGCUGUGACAAAAGUCAGCCAUCUGGGAUCCAGUGAUAAUGACCUCAUCCAGUUGGCCAAGAUGCUGAGUCAUUCUCAUCAGCAGGAAAAUAAGAAUUUAUCUUCUUUUGCGCACUGUACCCGCUUCCUGAUGGCAGUAGCGAGAAGAAAGGUGGCCUGGUGGUGGAGGUCCUUGAUGAUGGAUGCUGCUGUCCCGUGACAGCACUCUGUGGCCCCAAACUGCUCCACCAUGCACACUCACCUCUGCAGCAGUAAGCACACCUUCAAAAGGUGAAGCCUCAAAAAGUUAAGGAUUCCUAUCACCCAGGACAAGCUCUUUUCUCAUUGCUACCAUCAAGGAGGAGAUACAGGAGCCUGAAGACACACACUCAGCGUUUCAAGAACUGCUUCUUCCCCUCACCCAUCAGAUUUCUAAAUGGACAAUGAACCCAUGAACACUCCCUCAAUAUUCCUUUUCCUCUUUUUUGCACAACUUAUUUAAGUUUGAUAUACAGAUUGUAAUUUAUCGUUUUUUUACAGUUAUGUAUUGCAAUAUACUGCUGCCUCAAAUCAAUGAAUUUCACGACACAUGCCAGUGAUAUUAGACCUAAUUCUGAUUCGGAAACUCUUAGACAGGCAAAUUUGGAAUGAAAAGGUUUGUGUAUGAAAUGUUUGUUGGUUACUGGCUCUAACUGGAAUUUAGAAGACUGAGGGAGCAUCUCAUUAAAACCUAUCAAAUGUUGAAAGGCCUAGACUGAGUGAACAUGGGGAGGAUGUUUCCAAAAGUGUGUGAUUCUAAGACCUGAGGGCGCUGCCUCAGAAUAGAGGGACUUCCCUCCCUUUAGAACAGAGAUGGAGAGAAAUUUCUUAAGCCAGAGUGUGGUGAAUCUGUAGAAUUCAUUGCCACAGAUGGCUAUGGAGGACAAUUCAUUGGCUGUGUUUAAAGCAGAUGUUAAUAGGUUCUUGAUUAGUUAGGGCAUCUAAGGUUAUGGGGAGAAGGGAGAAGAAUGGGGUUGACAGUGAAUCUAAAUCAACCAAGAUGGAAUGGCAGAGCAGUCUUGCUGGGUUGAAUGGCUGCAUUCUGCUCUUUGUUUUAUGGAAGAUAAAGAAAUGGAUGGCUAUGUGAGUGUGAAGCAUUACAGUGAUCUUUGGUUAAAAGGUCAUAACAACAUCAUGGGCUGAAAGGCCUGUACGUGCUGUAAUUUUCUGUAUUCUAUAA